ACCUACGGGGGGCAGCAGUAGGGAAUCUUGCACAAUGGGCGAAAGCCUGAUGGAGCAACGCCGCGUGGGUGAAGAAGGUCUUCGGAUCGUAAAACCCUGUUGUUAGAGAAGAAAGUGCGUGAGAGUAACUGUUCACGUUUCGACGGUAUCUAACCAGAAAGCCACGGCUAACUACGUGCCAGCAGCCGCGGUAAUACGUAGGUGGCAAGCGUUAUCCGGAUUUAUUGGGCGUAAAGGGAACGCAGGCGGUCUUUUAAGUCUGAUGUGAAAGCCUUCGGCUUAACCGGAGUAGUGCAUUGGAAACU
rnacentral:rRNA from 1 species